rnacentral:lncRNA from 1 species
AAGAUCAAGUACAACUGUAAAGGUGGAUGGAAGUGGAGGGACUCCAAAAAGCCUAACCCAAAUACACUUGUUGGAGCCAUGGUUGCUGGCCCUGACAAGCACGAUGGUUUCCAUGAUGUUCGUACCAACUACAAUUACACAGAACCAACUCUUGCUGGCAAUGCAGGUCUAGUUGCAGCACUUGUUGCUCUGUCUGGUGACAAGUCUACUGGGAUUGACAAGAACACCAUUUUCUCAGCUGUUCCUCCAAUGUUCCCCACUCCACCACCACCUCCUGCACCCUGGAAGCCUUAAGCUGCCCGUAUUUUUGAGAAAAAGCAUGUUUUGUGUGACUUUUGGUUAGAGCAUUUUGCUGCAGCAAACCUUGGAAAUUAGAUUUGGAAGUUAUGGUAGUGCAAAACUAAGGAAGAAGAUGGCGCAUAGAAAAGAUUGCAUUUGACAAUGUUAGUGGAGACAGUUGGGCGAGGCAUGUUGGACUCAAACGAGCAUUAAGAAAUUGAUGUUCUACAUAU